rnacentral:lncRNA from 1 species
AGAGUGGUGAUGCGAAUAUCUAUUAGGGGUCACCUUUGGCUAAGUACUGUCGUGGCUAUAGAAUAUCUGAUAAGACCAUUGUGGUUGGCACGACCAUGCUCAUAGAUCGUGCCAUUUUUUAACAAGCCAAAAAUGUGCCGUGAGCAAAUUGUCGUCAUAUAUUUGAUCUGGUCAUUCCACAUGGGUAGUCGAAAGUUCGUAUCUGCCCUCAGUAGCUAGAAGUCAGAACGAAUUCGCGAAGCAUGAAAUAAAAAUCUAAGUAUUUCACGAUUUAUUUGAUUUUCUCUAU